AGAGUUUGAUCCUGGCUCAGAACGAACGCUGGCGGCAGGCUUAACACAUGCAAGUUGAACGGGAUUUGUGUGGUGCUUGCACCAUAUAAUGAGAGUAGCGCACUGGUGAGUAACACGUGGGAACGUACCUUUUGGUGGGGGACAACAUCUGGAAACGGAUGCUAAUACCGCAUAAGACCUGAGGGUGAAAGAUUUAUCGCCGAAAGAACGGCCCGCGGAAGAUUAGGCAGUUGGUGGGGUAAAGGCCUACCAAACCUACGAUCUAUAGCUGGUCUGAGAGGACGAUCAGCCACACUGGAACUGAGACACGGUCCAGACUCCUACGGGAGGCAGCAGUGAGGAAUAUUGGGCAAUGGAGGCAACUCUGACCCAGCCAUGCCGCGUGAGUGAAGAAGGUUUUCGGAUUGUAAAGCUCUUUCGGAUGUGACGAUGAUGACGGUAGCAUCUAAAGAAGCCCCGGCUAACUUCGUGCCAGCAGCCGCGGUAAUACGAAGGGGGCGAGCGUUGUUCGGAAUUACUGGGCGUAAAGGGUGUGUAGGCGGUUAUGUAAGAUAGCGGUGAAAUCCCGGGGCUUAACCUCGGAAUAGCCGUUAUAACUAUGUAGCUAGAGUUAUGGAGAGGAUAGCGGAAUACCCAGUGUAGAGGUGAAAUUCGUAGAUAUUGGGUAGAACACCGGUGGCGAAGGCGGCUAUCUGGCCAUAUACUGACGCUGAGGCACGAAAGCAUGGGGAUCAAACAGGAUUAGAUACCCUGGUAGUCCAUGCUGUAAACGAUGAAUGCUGGUUGUCGGCUUUAGGGUCGGUGACGAAGUUAACGCGAUAAGCAUUCCGCCUGGGGAGUACGGUCGCAAGAUUAAAACUCAAAGGAAUUGACGGGGACCCGCACAAGCGGUGGAGCAUGUGGUUUAAUUCGAUGCAACGCGAAGAACCUUACCAACUCUUGACAUCCUUAUCGGGGGGCGCAGAGAUGAGCCCUUUCAGUUAGGCUGGAUAAGUGACAGAUGCUGCAUGGCUGUCGUCAGCUCGUGUCGUGAGAUGUUGGGUUAAGUCCCGCA
rnacentral:rRNA from 1 species